rnacentral:rRNA from 1 species
UACGGGGGGCAAGCGUUGUUCGGAAUUACUGGGCGUAAAGGGCGCGUAGGCGGGCGGGCAAGUCUCUCGUGAAAGCCCACGGCUCAACCGUGGAAUUGCGGGAGAUACUGCUCGUCUUGAGUCCGGGAGAGGAGGGUGGAAUUCCCAGUGUAGCGGUGAAAUGCGUAGAUAUUGGGAGGAACACCGGUGGCGAAGGCGGCUCUCUGGACCGGUACUGACGCUGAGGCGCGAAAGCUAGGGGAGCAAACGGG